rnacentral:rRNA from 1 species
UACGUAGGGUGCAAGCGUUAAUCGGAAUUACUGGGCGUAAAGCGUGCGCAGGCGGUUUUGUAAGUCUGUCGUGAAAUCCCCGGGCUCAACCUGGGAAUGGCGAUGGAGACUGCAAGGCUAGAAUCUGGCAGAGGGAGGUGGAAUUCCACGUGUAGCAGUGAAAUGCGUAGAGAUGUGGAGGAACACCGAUGGCGAAGGCAGCCUCCUGGGCCAGCACUGACGCUCAUGCACGAAAGCGUGGGGAGCAAACAGG